rnacentral:rRNA from 1 species
CCUAUGAAGCUAGAGUGUGAUUCUAGGGGCAUCACGGGGUAGCAAUACUCUGGUGGCGACCGGCGCACGGGUGAGUAACGCGUAUGUAACCUGUCCUUUACAGGAGGAUAACCCGGAAAAAUUCCGACUAAUACUGCAUAAAGAUAUAAUGAGGCAUCUCAUAAUAUUUAAAACUACGGUGGUAAAGGAGGGGCGUGCGUAACAUUAGCUAGUUGGGAGGGUAACGGCCUACCAGGGCAAUGAUGUUUAGGGGACCUGAGAGGGUGACCCCCCACACUGGUACUGAAACACGGACCAAACUCCUACGGGAGGCACCCGUGAGGAAUAUUGGUCAAUGGGCGAAAGCCUGAACCAGCCAUCCCGCGUGAAGGAAGAAGGCGCUAUGCGUUGUAAACUUCUUUUUCAGGGGAAUAAAAUUUCGUAUGCAUACGGAACUGAAUGUACCCUGAGAAUAAUCAUCGGCUAACUCCGUGCCAACAUCCGCGGUAAUACAGAAGAUGCGAGCGUUAUUCGGAUUUAUUGGGUUUAAAGGGUGCGUAGGCGGGUCAUUAAAUCAGUGGUGAAAUCCUGCAACUUAACUGUAGAAUUGCCAUUGAUACUGAUAAUCUUGAGUAUGGUCAAGGCAUGCGGAAUGUGUAAUGUAUCGGUGAAAUGCUUAUAUAUUACACAGAACACCUAUGGCGAAUGCAGCUUGCUGGGCCGUUACUGACGCUGAUGCACGAAAGCGUGGGGAUCGAACAGGAUUAGAUACCCUGCUAAUCCACGCCGUAAACGAUGAUCACUAGCUGUUGACGAUACGCCGAUCAGCGGCAAAGCAGAUGCUUUAAAUGAUCUACCUGGGGAGUACUGCCGCAAGGCUGAAACUCAUAGGAAUUGACGG